GUCCCUGUCGAUUAGUGGUCAAAUCAUCACGUUGUGGUUGCAGUUCCGUGAAGCCGGGAGCUCGAAUCUCCCCAGGGACA